rnacentral:lncRNA from 1 species
GUCUGUGUGUGCAUGUGUGUGAGCUUGCGGUGGGGUCUGUGUGUGAUCUUGCGGUGGGGUCUGUGUGUGUGUGUGUGUGUGUGUGUGUCCCAACAAUGUGUGUUCUCUCAUGUCUAGGAUGUGAAGGCCAUAGUGACUCGUUUUACAGUGUGUGUGUGUGUGUGUGACGUGAAAUAUGGGUGCCAUGAGGGGUAACUAUAGAGGAGGUGUAGAGGAGCCUCAACAACCUAUUAAUAACACUGCAGGAGGUCUCUGGAGGUCUCAGGAAAACUCAGGUGGGUUUCAGGGGGUCUCUGGAGGUCUCUGAAGGUCUCAGGAAAACUCAGGGGGUCUCUGGAUGUCUCAGGAAAACUCAGGGGGUCUCUGGAGGUCUCAGGGGGUUUCAGGGGGUCUCUGGAGGUCUCAGGAAAACUCAGGCGGGUUUCGGGGUCUCAGGAGGUUUUAGAAGUCUCUGGAGGUCUCUGGGUCUCAGGUCUCAGGAAGUAUCAGAAGGUAUCAGGGGUUUUCAGGAAGUAUCAGAAGGUAUCAGGGGUUCUCAGGAAGUAUCAGAAGGUAUCAGGGGUUCUCAGGAAGUAUCAGAAGGUAUCAGGGGUUCUCAGGAAGUAUCAGAAGGUAUCAGGGGUUCUCA